UUGGGCUCCCUUUUAGGUGCCAGGUAUAAUGAGAUUAAUAAUACAAAAUAACAUUGUUAUGAAACGUAUAUAACAUUGUCGUUGACUAAGCAAGUAAAAUAUUAUAGAUUGUAACAUACUUUCAAGUGAUAUAAAGAAAAAUAAAGCUAGCUAAGGGAUAAAAAUGAGGUGAAAACCUUUUAAAUAGAUUUGACUGGAAUGGCUUCUUUGCUGUGCUCAUAAAUGAGCUCAGACCUAAAUUAUGUGUCCUGAAUUAUUGAACGGGGAGAGACGAUUUCUGGCAGAGGAUAUACCAAGUGAAACAUCCAUGUUCAAAUAUAUUUGAGGAGAAGCAAAAAGUCUAUUCCUGAUGGAGUAAUAUGUGUUUGGAGGCGCUGAAAAAACAUUGUGCUGAUCAUAUGAGACCAGGCUCAUAGGCAGAUGGGACUUGCCUUGUCUCAGAUGAGACCUUGGACUGUGGACUUCUGAGUUAAUGCUGAAAUGAAUUAAGACUUUGGGGGACUAUUGGUAAGGCAUGGUUUGUUUUGAAAUGUGAGGACAUGAGAUUUGGGAGGGGCCAGGGGCAGAAAGAUAUGGGUUGGCUGUGUCCUCACCCAAAUCUCAGUUUGACUUGUAAUAAUCCCCAUGUGUCAAGGUUGGGGCCAAGUGUUGAAAACUGAUUCAUGCAGGUGGUUUUUCCCAUACUGUUCUCGUGGUAGUAAGUCUCAGGAGAUCUAAUGGUUUUAUACAUGAGAGUUCCCCUGCACAUGCUGUCUUUCCCAGUGCCAUGAAAUAUGUGGCUUUCUCCUCCUUUGCCUCCCACCAUAAUUGUGAGACCUCCCCAGCCAUGUGGAACUAUGAGUCAAUUAAACAUCUUUCCUUUAUAAAUUAUGCAGUCUCAGCUAUGUCUUUACUAACAAUGUGAAAACAGAUUAUUGCAUUUACCUAAUAUUUAAGUUUGAAGUUUAUAAGAAAUGAAUAGAAGACAAGUAGAGGAUAAUCUGAAAUUCAUAAAGACCAGAAAUAAACUCAUUGUCACUCUCUCUUUCCCUGCUCCCUUUGCUAAAUUCAGUCCCAUUACAGAUUACAAUAUGUAGGUUUUCAAAUAAUCUGGAAAUGUUAAUAGGUUAGAAAUUACUGCAUUCAUCACUAUGGCCCCUAUGCUUUGUGCUGUGUGUAAGCAAACAAUGGUGCUAGUGUAUACAAGAAGAACACAAAAGAGUAACUAGAACCAUAUUAGUUUAGUAAUAUUCCAUUCUUAAGCAUUUGAAUUUUUCUUGGCAUCAUUAUAAAUAAUAAUCUAACAAGAUUGAAGAAGCACAGUCCUUUCUCUUUGGGAACUCAAACCUUAUACUGAGAAUUUAACCAAUUUAUGUUAAAUUUUAAGGUAGUACCUGAGACUUUGAAUGAAUAAGAAAUGAAAUCUUACCAUGUUGAAGCCAUUGAUAUUGAAGUGUGUUCAUUAUGCCAACUAUCAUUGCUUGUAAAUAUUUCUACAUAGCCAUAAAGCCACAAACUAAGGGAGAGAAAAGGCGUCUAGUCACUGGGGACCCCUCUGGUCUUCCCACUAGCUCUGAGCUGCAGAUCCAAUACUUCUGGGCAUGUGAAACAAAUAAUCCCCUGAGUUAUUGACUUGCUUAAGCCAUUUUUGUUAGGAUUUUCUGUUACUUGCAGCAAAAUGCAAUCCUAAUUGAUAUGCUCUCAUGAAUGGAUAGAUAGAAGAUAGAUGUAUGGAUAGAUACAUAGAUAAUAGAUAACCAUCCAGGUUGAAAUAUAAACAAAUUAAAAAUUAUUUUAUUAACAAUUAGUGGAUCAGUA
rnacentral:lncRNA from 10 species